GACGAACGCUGGCGGCGUGCUUAACACAUGCAAGUCGAACGGAAAGGCCCUGCUUUUGUGGGGUGCUCAAGUGGCGAACGGGUGAGUAACACGUGAGUAACCUGCCCUUGACUUUGGGAUAACUUCAGGAAACUGGGGCUAAUACCGGAUAGGAGCUCCUGCUGCAUGGUGGGGGUUGGAAAGUUUCGGCGGUUGGGGAUGGACUCGCGGCUUAUCAGCUUGUUGGUGGGGUAGUGGCUUACCAAGGCUUUGACGGGUAGCCGGCCUGAGAGGGUGACCGGCCACAUUGGGACUGGGAAACGGCCAGACUCCUACGGGAGGCAGCAGUGGGGAAUAUUGCACAAUGGGCGGAAGCCUGACGCAGCAACGCCGCGUGCGGGAUGACGGCCUUCGGGUUGUAAACCGCUUUCGCCUGUGACGAAGCGUGAGUGACGGUAAUGGGUAAAGAAGCACCGGCUAACUACGUG
rnacentral:rRNA from 1 species